AUACUUACCUGGCAGGGGAGAUACCAUGAUCACGAAGGUGGUUUUCCCAGGGCGAGGCUUAUCCAUUGCACUCCGGAUGUGCUGACCCCUGCGAUUUCCCCAAAUGUGGGAAACUCAACUGCAUAAUUUGUGGUAGUGGGGGACUGCGUUCGCGCUCUCCCCUG
rnacentral:snRNA from 1 species